rnacentral:tRNA from 1 species
GCCGGAUUAGCUCAGUUGGCAGAGCAGUUCAUUCGUAAUGAAAAUGUCACCAGUUCGAAUCCGGUAUCCGGCACCA